AUCCGGGGUGCGGACAGUGUCUGGUGGGUAGUUUGACUGGGGCGGUCUCCUCCCAAAGAGUAACGGAGGAGCACGAAGGUCAGCUAAUCACGGUCGGACAUCGUGAGGUUAGUGCAAUGGCAUAAGCUGGCUUGACUGCGAGAGUGACGGCUCGAGCAGGUGCGAAAGCAGGUCAUAGUGAUCCGGUGGUUCUGUAUGGAAGGGCCAUCGCUCAACGGAUAAAAGGUACUCCGGGGAUAACAGGCUGAUACCGCCCAAGAGUUCAUAUCGACGGCGGUGUUUGGCACCUCGAUGUCGGCUCAUCACAUCCUGGGGCUGAAGUAGGUCCCAAGGGUACGGCUGUUCGCCGUUUAAAGUGGUACGCGAGCUGGGUUUAGAACGUCGUGAGACAGUUCGGUCCCUAUCUGCCGUGGGCGCUGGAGAAUUGAGAGGGGUUGCUCCUAGUACGAGAGGACCGGAGUGAACGCACCGCUGGUGUUCGGGUUGUCAUGCCAAUGGCACUGCCCGGUAGCUAAGUGCGGAAAAGAUAAGCGCUGAAAGCAUCUAAGCGCGAAACUUGCCUCGAGAUGAGUUCUCCCUGUGGCUUUAAGCCACCUGAAGGGACGUUGAAGACGACGACGUUGAUAGGCCGGGUGUGUAAGCGCAGCGAUGCGUUGAGCUAACCGGUACUAAUGACCCGUGAGGCUUAACCUU
rnacentral:rRNA from 1 species